rnacentral:rRNA from 1 species
UACGAGAGGCCCAAACGUUAUUCGGAUUUACUGGGCUUAAAGAGUUCGUAGGCGGCGCAGAAAGUAGGGUGUGAAAGCCCUCGGCUCAACCGAGGAAUUGCGCCCUAAACUACUGUGCUUGAGGGACCUAGAGGUGAGCAGAACUGAUGGUGGAGCGGUGAAAUGCGUUGAUAUCAGGAGGAACACCAAUGGCGAAGGCAGCUCGCUGGGACGGUACUGACGCUGAGACGCGAAAGCGUGGGGAGCAAACAGG